rnacentral:pre_miRNA from 1 species
AAAGUACUCCCUCCGUUUCAAAUUAUUUGUCGCAGGUAUGGAUAUAUCUAGAUGUAUUUUUGUUCUAGAUACAUCCAUUUCUGCGACGAGUAAUUUGGAACAGAGGGAGUAGUAU